AGAAAGCAUUUUCAGUUGUAGAUG
rnacentral:piRNA from 1 species